AGCCCUCAAUUCCCUUUCCCAUCGGAUCUGAACACCGACCUUGGUGGUUGCAAAGGAGGAAAGGUAAUACUGAAGCUGGCCUCACAGUGCUUGUAGUCUGUGGGCUAGUUUCAAACAAGG
ensembl:snoRNA small nucleolar RNA SNORA61